GAUGAACGCUGGCGGCGUGCCUAAUACAUGCAAGUCGAGCGAACGGACGAGAAGCUUGCUUCUCUGAUGUUAGCGGCGGACGGGUGAGUAACACGUGGAUAACCUACCUAUAAGACUGGGAUAACUUCGGGAAACCGGAGCUAAUACCGGAUAAUAUUUUGAACCGCAUGGUUCAAAAGUGAAAGACGGUCUUGCUGUCACUUAUAGAUGGAUCCGCGCUGCAUUAGCUAGUUGGUAAGGUAACGGCUUACCAAGGCAACGAUGCAUAGCCGACCUGAGAGGGUGAUCGGCCACACUGGAACUGAGACACGGUCCAGACUCCUACGGGAGGCAGCAGUAGGGAAUCUUCCGCAAUGGGCGAAAGCCUGACGGAGCAACGCCGCGUGAGUGAUGAAGGUCUUCGGAUCGUAAAACUCUGUUAUUAGGGAAGAACAUAUGUGUAAGUAACUGUGCACAUCUUGACGGUACCUAAUCAGAAAGCCACGGCUAACUACGUGCCAGCAGCCGCGGUAAUACGUAGGUGGCAAGCGUUAUCCGGAAUUAUUGGGCGUAAAGCGCGCGUAGGCGGUUUUUUAAGUCUGAUGUGAAAGCCCACGGCUCAACCGUGGAGGGUCAUUGGAAACUGGAAAACUUGAGUGCAGAAGAGGAAAGUGGAAUUCCAUGUGUAGCGGUGAAAUGCGCAGAGAUAUGGAGGAACACCAGUGGCGAAGGCGACUUUCUGGUCUGUAACUGACGCUGAUGUGCGAAAGCGUGGGGAUCAAACAGGAUUAGAUACCCUGGUAGUCCACGCCGUAAACGAUGAGUGCUAAGUGUUAGGGGGUUUCCGCCCCUUAGUGCUGCAGCUAACGCAUUAAGCACUCCGCCUGGGGAGUACGACCGCAAGGUUGAAACUCAAAGGAAUUGACGGGGACCCGCACAAGCGGUGGAGCAUGUGGUUUAAUUCGAAGCAACGCGAAGAACCUUACCAAAUCUUGACAUCCUUUGACAACUCUAGAGAUAGAGCCUUCCCCUUCGGGGGACAAAGUGACAGGUGGUGCAUGGUUGCCGUCAGCUCGUGCCGUGAGAUGUUGGGUUAAGUCCCGCAACGAGCGCAACCCUUAAGCUUAGUUGCCAUCAUUAAGUUGGGCACUCUAAGUUGACUGCCGGUGACAAACCGGAGGAAGGUGGGGAUGACGUCAAAUCAUCAUGCCCCUUAUGAUUUGGGCUACACACGUGCUACAAUGGACAAUACAAAGGACAGCGAAACCGUGAGGUCAAGCAAAUCCCAUAAAGUUGUUCUCAGUUCGGAUUGUAGUCUGCAACUCGACUACAUGAAGCUGGAAUCGCUAGUAAUCGUAGAUCAGCAUGCUACGGUGAAUACGUUCCCGGGUCU
rnacentral:rRNA from 1 species